UGGUAAGGCCUUGUCUCAAAAUAAAACAUAGAAAGGGCUGUGGCUCAGUGGUUAAGUGCCCCUGGGUUCAAUCCUUGGUACAAAAACAAACAAACAAACAAACAAAAAACACAAACCACAAUAGGUAAGAUGCUCACAGACUUACUAUCAAAUUGCUUAGUGACCACUAUGUACCAGAGAAGGUACAGGACUCAUGAAAAUGCCUCCUAAUGAUCUUUAUUUAAAAAUCUAAAAUAAAUGCAUCACAGCUCUAAAGUAAAAUAAAAGAAAAUAGAACAAUUUUCCAAAGAUUUUUUUCUCUAAAUUCCCUUUACUUUUCACCUGUACUUAUCUUUGGUGUGAUUUGACUCAAUGUUCUUCAUUUAGUCUUUUCACAUUGGUUUUGAUAGCAACACCCUCCACUUUCUCCUUCCCCUCAAAACCAAAAGUACACUCUUUUUCUCUUUUUUCCUUUAUUUUACACACUUAUAUUUUCUUUCAAUAAAUAGAUAUACCUUCUAAAAAUCAGAAGGCUAUAGUUCUAUUUUGAGAUGUAAACAAAGAUAUUAUGGGAAGAACAAAGAGACAAAAAAAUUAGAAAAUUUUUGUGAUGGAGUCAAUAUUAAAAAUGAAAAGCCACUAUAAUAUGCAUUCAGACUACAAGUGCCCUGAUCAAUUUACAUGACUAUAGAAAAAAUUCCAAAAUCACAGAAGAUAAAAUUUAGAAAUGAGUUUUUAUAUGUAAUUAUGUUUAUAUGUCUCAAAUACAAUAGAGUGAAAAUGAGAGUUCUUAUUUUAAAAAAGCAAGAUUCUUUUUAAAAAUUUAUUCUUGAUUGGAGCAUUAUAAUUAUACAUCAUGGUGGGUUUCAUCAUGUCAUAUUCACAAAUGCAUAUAGCAAUUUGCUCAAUCUCCUUCUCCAAUAUCUCUCCUCCUUCUGAGUCAUUUGCUUUAAUCCACUGAUUUUUCUUCUAUUACCAUUAUUUUUAUUUGUGCAUUAUCAUUAUUGGAAUAUUCUACAUGCAAUAGAAGAAUUUGGUUCUAUGUCUUCAUCCCCAGUAUUUCCUUUCAAUCCUUUUCCAGAGUCAUUAUUUUAAUAAGUGAGAGUAACUUCAUAACACUCCAUUACAAAAUAAAAAUGAGUCUUCUUUUUCUGCAGUAAGCUUGCUUGAGAAUUGGUACACACCAGCUUCUCACAUGUCAACCUGUUCUUGGCAUGUAAACUGCUUGCAUAUUAAGUGAUAUAUGGUCACACAUAGAAGGAGGAUAAAUAAAAGGAGUCACAUUCCACUCUUUUUUUUCAGUGCUAAAUAUUAAAAUUAUGGAAAUUGAAGUAGUAACCACAGGGGUUGUAUAGAUGCAAAAAAAAAAAAAAUAGGGUCCAGUUAAAACUUAUAGUUCUUUCCCAGGUUUCUCCUAUUUCCAUAUAAAACAAAAUAAACUUCAAUUAUAACACAAUGAGUAACUUUUUCCUUGAAGUUACUUGGGCACAGAACAAGUAUAACAAUGGGUUGUAACAAUAAUUGACUGUUACAAAAAAUACAGAAAAAUAUGGAAAAUGCUGGCAUUGCAAAGAGACAAGUAGCACUUAGAGAGGUAGAAGAGCAAGGUUUAUUCAGCAGAGGUGAAGGCCCAAUGGAGUCUUCACCAAAUGCUGAGCAUAACCCUUCAUUCCCAGUAUCUUUUCCACUGUACAGACUUCCAGAUUUCAAGACAUUCUCAUGCAAGUAGACUUUAUCCUUUCCUCAUUCUGCAGGCAGCUCGGGUUCCUGUCACAGGAGCUGAGCAAGCGUAUUUACAGAAGAAGAAAUUAGCAGGUUGUCUCUUUGUCUUCUGCUUUUUGUUUUUUGGUUGUGUUUGCCCAGGAUUUCAGCCCACUCUGGCUCACCCCCAAUCCCAAACCCCCGGCACCCAGUCACACUGUUUUUCUCUUGGAAGGGGAGAGCAUCCUCCUUUAACUGGGAUUCUUUCAAAACAAAGAUGAUUCUGAUUAAUUCACCUAAUGUAAUUAAAUCAGCAGUAACUUGGAACCAAAAUUCAUGCUCAAAUAAUUGAUAUUUUCCUUUGAAAACUGGAGACUUGAGGAAAGCUGCUCAGGGUUUGGGUGUUCACCAGAUAAGGCUUCUCAAAUCACCUGAUAUCUAACAAUUCUGACUUCUUCUCCCUGCCCUAUCUUCCCCUUUUUAGAGGACCAGCACUAAAAACUAAUAGGUAGAAAUGAUGAUAUGUGUGUAUGUACAUGCACUUUUAAGAUAUUUUCAACUCUCCCCAUACAUUCUUGAAAAAUGAUGAAAUAAUUUAAAAAAUAACUCUUGAGUUUAGCUUUGUGUCACUGGCUAUUGCUAUGUCAGAUGUUUUGGCAGGAAGAAUUGGUAUCAGACGAUCAAUCUUAAUACUUAGAAUUAGGCUUUGAAGUUGAUAAUCAAUAUUUAAUAUAUUUGGAUUUUUUUUCCCUGUGAUUACUAUGGUUAGAGAAAACAAAAUGGUGUUUCGUUCCUCUAACUUCAUGCUAAUUUUGAGUAUAGUCAGCAUGGGAUGAAAUAAAAAAAAAAAAGACUUCUCCAGAAAAAAAGAAAGAAAGAAAGAAAGAAAUUAAUCAAUUAGCAAGUUAUAGCUAUUAGCAGAGAUAUAAAGAAACAUCUUAGGAAAGAGUUGCCACUUUAUUACCAGAAACCUGUGUAUCUUAAAAAGAGAUGGUAAACCUCUUUAAAAACAAGGCAGAAAAUUUUGAACAUAUGAUUUAAAAAAUUUAUAGAGAAAAUUUUGCUUUUCUGAAAACUGCUGUUUUUAUGAUCUAUAAAUGAUUGACAUUUCAUGGCAUAUAUCAUAACAUGUCCAUAUUUAACCCAUCUUCAUUUACAUUAAAUAUUUGUACCAAAUAUAUUAUCUAAGUGUGUUACUAUUCAGAUAUUUUUGAACUGUGAGAACAAGGAGAAAACAGUUGUCUUCAAGGAAUUUCCAUUAUAAAAAGGGGCGCCAAUCCCAUGAAUUCAUACAGCAAAGACAACCCCAAUUUCAGUGUGAUAAAGGAGAAGGCUGUUAGCACAGACUCCUUGUUUCUUCUGGUGUAGAAAGAGAGACACAGAAAUACACACAUGUCAGGGGAAAGACCACUAUAGGUAAUUGAAGGUGGUGAGUCCCUUUGGUUAUAGCACAAGAUUUUAUACAUUUCUGAUAGAAAUUCCUCAAGUCGUUUGAUUUUCCCUAUUCACUUAUAAAAAUAGAGAACUAUAAGCCUUUGACAGUUGGUAGACAUAUAUCAAAUUUUCCCAGGAAAGAAUAUAUUGAAAGUGAUGUAAAAAAUAAAUAGAUUAAUAAACUAAUUAAUUUUAAAAAUGAAAGUGAUUUAAUAUGAAUUUUGGUCAUAUACAUCUCUUCUUAUGAACUCAAAAUUAUGGAAUUUUAUAAUUAUGAACAACGAAGAAUUAAGCCAUCUAUUUUGAUGGGUACAAGCAGCUAAUAAUAUUUAGUUUGUGAAAAAAAGAGUAAAAUAUGGCUGAUCUUCUGAGAACAGAAUUUGGUUAAUUAACUUAGUUAACUAAUUCUGUAGUUACUAAUUUGCCCCUGAUUUUGAAUUGUUUUACUAACAUUAUUUGCCCCAUUAUUCCUAUGUUUUAAUACCCAUAAGAAAAGAUGUAUAUGUUGUUGGAAACUAAAAUUAAGAUAAUUUUUAAGAAAAAUGUAAUGAGAGCUAAAGAAUGUGGUAUGGACAUCAGUAUGGACAAGGCCCUGGAUUUGAUCCUUAGUACCAGAAAAUCAAUCAGUCCAUCAAAUAAAAAGAAUGCAGUGAAAAAUAGGGGUCUUUGGGUAUGUAUAUUUUAAAUAGGAUGGUGUUAAUGGGUAUGGGGUUUCUUUUGGGGGUGAUAAAAAUGUUCUAAAAUUAGGUAACUAACUUUGUGAAUAUACUAAAAACUCUUGAAUCAUAUACUUAAACAUGGUGAUUUUGGUGUUAUGUCAAUUAUACCAGGAUAAAACUGUUUCAAAAACACACUUAAAAAUUGAUUCAUAAUUUUUUGAAAAUUGUACUGAAAUGAGGGAAGGGUUUAAUAAAAUGGAAACAAACCCAUACAACCACCGUGGAAUCUCCAUGGGCUGAGUAUAAACUUGGGAAUCCUUUGGGCCUAAGAUGAAUCAGGGAUUUAAAGUUUCUACCACUUAAAGCUCAAGCUUGGCACAGUGUAUAAAACUUUGACCACAGAUCAGGUGGCUUGAUUUCAGAGGUCAAUGAACUGUUUGAAUCUAUACUAGAUCAGUCUGAGAAGUAAGGCAGUGAAUUCAGGGAGAGCAGUUGCCACUUGCACUUUGGAGAUUCCUCAGUAGUUCUGGAAAUCAAAGAUGAGGAGGACAAAGUCACUAGCCUCCAUAGCCUUUCAGCAAAGACAGACCUGUGGUCUUGGAGAAAAAAUGGCUUGACUAACUGGUGUUUUUGAAUAUUCUGCUACAAAGUGAGAGGGUGUCAUCUGUUUCAAGAAUUAUUGUAAUUAUUUUGCGGAGUGUACUGGGAUUGAACUCAUGGGCACUCAACCACUGAGCCACAUCUCCAGCCCAUUUUUGUUUUUAUUUUUUAAUUUGGAGACAGGGCUUAACACAUUACUGUAGCUGAAACUAGCUUUGAACUUGUGAUCCUCCUGCCUCAGCCUCCCAUGACACUGUGAUUAUAGGCAUUCGCCAUCGGGCUGGGCUCAAGAAUUAUUUGACAGAAAUUUAGGUAAAUAGAUAUUAUCAAUAGUCUAUCACCAGUUCUACUCUUCCAGUAUUCCUGUUCUCAUUUCUCCCUCCUUUUAUUCCCUCCAUCUUUCUCUUUCUUUCUCUGCUUAUGCAUUUCUUCAGAAUGCAGCUCAUGAAUAACUAAGCACACACAGACAGUGGAUUGGGACAUGGAAAAGUGAAGGGAGAGACAAAGUAUCUACUAGCAUCAUGGCUAGAAGAUGUUUCUCCUCCUGCUUCUCUGCCAUGUUGUGACAACAGCCAAGGGAGCCCUCUCCAGAGACCGAACAGAUAAGGUGCCCAUGCUUGGACUUUCAGCCUCCAAAAUCUGAGCUAAGUAAAUGUCUUUUCCAUAAAAGUAGUUAGCUUCAAGUGUUUUGUUAUAGUAAUAGAGAAGAGACUAACGCUUCAAAUAUUUUGUUAUAAUAUCAGAAAAGAAACCAAUGUUUUGCCCAGUUGAAAACCUACAUUAUUCAAUUUUCUUCACAGGUGGGAGUGUGACUGUUCUAGCUACAGAAAUGUGGGAAGAGUUAAUGUAUUUUACCACAUAACCGUUGUCUCCUGUCUCCACAUUAACAUAUAUUAGUAAAUAUUCCAUGCAUACUAAUCCCGCAUCAAAGACAGUUUAGUAAUACAUGACUUUUAAGCAAUUCUGGUACAAUUUAAAAAGAAAGAAAGGAAGGAAAACUAGCAAGCUUCACAUAAUGAUCACACAGCAUUUUUUUUGCAAAAAAAAAAAAAAAAAAAAACAAAACCAAAAUGGAAAUCUGCUAUGAUUGCG